rnacentral:rRNA from 1 species
UCGGUCCCGGGGACAGCGGCGAACGGGUGAGUAACACGUGGAUAACCUGCCCUCGGCACCGGAAUAGCCCGGGGAAACUCGGAUUAAUGCCGGAUAGCCCCACAUCCCUGCGGGGAACGUGGGAAAAGGUAGCUUCGGCCUCUGGCCGGGGAUGGGUCCGCGGUGGAUUAGCUUGUUGGUGCGGGUAAUGGCCCACCAAGGCGACGAUCCAUAGCUGGUCUGAGAGGACGAUCAGCCACACUGGGACUGAGACACGGCCCAGACUCCUACGGGAGGCAGCAGUAGGGAAUCUUGCGCAAUGGGCGAAAGCCUGACGCAGCGACGCCGCGUGCGGGAAGAAGGCCUUCGGGUUGUAAACCGCUUUCAGGAGGGACGAAGCCACUCGGGUUAAUAGCCCAGAGGGUGACGGUACCUCCAGAAGAAGCCCCGGCUAACUACGUGCCAGCAGCCGCGGUAAUACGUAGGGGGCAAGCGUUGUCCGGAUUCAUUGGGCGUAAAGAGCGUGUAGGCGGUCAGGUAGGUCGGUUGUGAAAACUGGAGGCUCAACCUUCAGAGGUCGACCGAAGCCCCCUGGCUAGAGUCCGGGAGAGGAGAGUGGAAUUCCUGGUGUAGCGGUGAAAUGCGCAGAUAUCAGGAAGAACACCCGUGGCGAAAGCGGCUCUCUGGAACGGUACUGACGCUGAGACGCGAAAGCGUGGGGAGCGAACAGGAUUAGAUACCCUGGUAGUCCACGCCGUAAACGAUGGGCGCUAGGUGUGGGA